UGUGAAUUGCAGAAUUCAGUGAAUCAUCGAAUCUUUGAACGCACAUUGCGCCCUUUGGUAUUCCAAAGGGCAUGCCUGUUCGAGCGUCAUUUGUACCCUCAAGCUUUGCUUGGUGUUGGGCGUCUUGUCUCUAGCUUUGCUGGAGACUCGCCUUAAAGUAAUUGGCAGCCGGCCUACUGGUUUCGGAGCGCAGCACAAGUCGCACUCUCUAUCAGCAAAGGUCUAGCAUCCAUUAAGCCUUUUUUUCAACUUUUGACCUCGGAUCAGGUAGGGAUACCCGCUGAACUUAAGCAUAUCAAUA
rnacentral:rRNA from 1 species